UUGCUGGCCAACUGCUUCUUUUGGCUAACUCCCAUCUGAUUCCCUUUAAUUAUCCAAGCUCCUCUGGCCAGUGGCUUAUGGGUAUUGUAGAGAUUAUGGCCAUAUUGAUCUAGAAUUGGGUAUUCGAUGUCAUUCUUCAAAAACAGAAAACACCCCAGAGCAGAGAAAGAAAACCGUUUAGGCCCCACCAGGGAAGCAGCCCAACUCAGAGAAGCGUCCUCUUGUCUGCCUUGCAUCAGCAGAUUGAAGACGAUGAUCCGGACCAUGAAAUGCAUCUGAGCUGUUUCUCCAUCUUGGCUAUUGUGAACACCAUAAACAUGGACGUGCAAGACUCUCUGUGGGGCAGAGAGGGAGAACUAGUCCAGAUGGUACCGACAGAUGACAUGCACAGAUUUCCACGCUGUGCUGGGGGCUGCGUCUGGAGCCUCACACAAGCUGAGAAGUCUUGCUUCACCACGGAGCUACCUACUAGUCAAAUGUUGCAUAUCUUGGCAGAAAUCUCCUUGUUAAUUUCUCUAUUAUCUUUAUUUUUUCCAACUUCCAUCCUGAGUAAAUGUCUCAUUAGGGCAAUACCUACAAAUUCUUAGAGCUAUAAUGACAU
rnacentral:lncRNA from 1 species